rnacentral:rRNA from 1 species
GAUCCUGGCUCAGGAUGAACGCUAGCUACAGGCUUAACACAUGCAAGUCGAGGGGAAACGAUAUUGGAAGCUUGCUUCCGAUAGGCGUCGACCGGCGCACGGGUGAGUAACGCGUAUCCAACCUGCCCACCACUUGGGGAUAACCUUGCGAAAGUAAGACUAAUACCCAAUGAUAUCUCUAGAAGACAUCUGAAAGGGAUUAAAGAUUUAUCGGUGAUGGAUGGGGAUGCGUCUGAUUAGCUUGUUGGCGGGGUAACGGCCCACCAAGGCGACGAUCAGUAGGGGUUCUGAGAGGAAGGUCCCCCACAUUGGAACUGAGACACGGUCCAAACUCCUACGGGAGGCAGCAGUGAGGAAUAUUGGUCAAUGGGCGAGAGCCUGAACCAGCCAAGUAGCGUGCAGGACGACGGCCCUAUGGGUUGUAAACUGCUUUUAUAAGGGAAUAAAGUGAGUCUCGUGAGACUUUUUGCAUGUACCUUAUGAAUAAGGACCGGCUAAUUCCGUG